rnacentral:rRNA from 1 species
UACAGAGGGUGCGAGCGUUGUUCGGAUUCAUUGGGCGUAAAGGGUGCGUAGGUGGCGCCGUAAGUCAGGUGUGAAAUUUCGGAGCUUAACUCCGAAACUGCAUUUGAUACUGCGGUGCUUGAGGACUGGAGAGGAGACUGGAAUUUACGGUGUAGCAGUGAAAUGCGUAGAUAUCGUAAGGAAGACCAGUGGCGAAGGCGAAUCUCUGGACAGUUACUGACACUGAGGCACGAAGGCCAGGGGAGCAAACGGG